rnacentral:lncRNA from 1 species
AAAACUGAUCUUUAUUGCAAUUAAAAAAGAACAAAAGAGAAUUUGAUAAGUGCCUUGAAUUACAACGUACCUGCUAUUUACAUGUAAUUAUACUUCUAUAUACAGCUUGAAUAAGGUUCAUUACAUGUAAACUACAAGAUAUGACAAGUUAAACUCCAGCCUUUUGGGAACAUUCAGAAUAGAAAUACUAUGGGCAGAAACACACAGAAAACAAAUACCAAUUUCAGUACCAUUACUGGAUGAUGAUCGCUAUCUGGCCACAGAAGAGAAUUGUAAAUAUACAUCAAAUUGAAACUUAUUCUUAACAUGACUAACAGUAUUGCUAUUAUUUAAACUCUAAACAUAACAAUUGGAUCAUCAAAAACAACACAAUUUCA